AUGGCCAAGGCUUUUCUGCUCUUAUGGGUGACUGAAUAUAAGUUGUUUAAUAGCGUUCUACAGGUAAAAUACCAUUACAACAAAAAUCUUUAUAGAACAAACCAUUUCCAAAUUAUAGCAGAUGGUUUCCUUCUUUCAUGCAAUAUUAAACAUAACAAAAUGGAAGAAAAACAGAAUAAUUUGGACAUUACCUUGGGGCUUGAUUUAAUGAAACAUGAUCAGCAAUAAUGGCUUUCUAGGUAUUAAUAUUUGAC
rnacentral:lncRNA from 1 species